GACGAACGCUGGCGGCGUGCCUAAUGAAUGCGAGUCGAACGAGAUCCAGGUGGAGUCUUCGGACAAUACCUGGUGACAGUGGCGAACGGGUGAGUAACACGUGGGUAACCUGCCUCAUAGAGAGGGAUAGCCUUCCGAAAGGAAGAUUAAUACCUCAUAACAUCAUUCUUUCGCAUGUUAGAAUGAUCAAAGGAGCAAUCCGCUAUGAGAUGGACCCGCGGCGCAUUAGCUAGUUGGUGAGGUAACGGCUCACCAAGGCGACGAUGCGUAGCCGACCUGAGAGGGUGAUCGGCCACAUUGGGACUGAGACACGGCCCAGACUCCUACGGGAGGCAGCAGUGGGGAAUAUUGCACAAUGGGGGAAACCCUGAUGCAGCAACGCCGCGUGAGUGAUGACGGCCUUCGGUUGUAAGUACUCUGUCUUCAGGACGAUAAUGACGGUACCGUCGAGGAGGAAGGCCGACGGACUAACCUACGUCGCC
rnacentral:rRNA from 1 species